rfam:Citrus clementina cultivar Clemenules unplaced genomic scaffold scaffold_4, whole genome shotgun sequence.
AGCCGUGCGGUGAGCACAGAGCGAACUAUUCUUUCGCCUUUUACUAAAGAAUACCGUGUGCUCGCCGCUUAAAGCGGCAUACGCCUAUUUUUGGAGGGGUGUUUCUCAGGAAAAU